rnacentral:misc_RNA from 1 species
GUACCUUCAAGCUCUGCUUGGUGUUGGGUGUUUGUCUCGCCUCUGCGUGUGGACUCGCCUCAAAACAAUUGGCAGCCGGCGUAUUGAACUCGGAGCGCAGUACAUCUCGCGCUUUGCACUCAUAACGACGACGUCCAAAAGUACAUUUUUACAC